rnacentral:rRNA from 1 species
UAAUACAGAGGUCCCAAGCGUUGUUCGGAUUCAUUGGGCGUAAAGGGUGCGUAGGUGGCGCCGUAAGUCGGGUGUGAAAUUUCGGAGCUUAACUCCGAAACUGCAUUCGAUACUGCGGUGCUUGAGGACUGGAGAGGAGACUGGAAUUCAUGGUGUAGCAGUGAAAUGCGUAGAGAUCAUGAGGAAGACCAGUGGCGAAGGCGGGUCUCUGGACAGUUCCUGACACUGAGGCACGAAGGCCAGGGGAGCAAACGGGAUUAGAUACCCCGGUAGUCCUGGCCCUAAACGAUGAAUGCUUGGUGUGGCGGGUAUCGAUCCCUGCCGUGCCGAAGCUAACGCAUUAAGCAUUCCGCCUGGGGAGUACGGUCGCAAGGCUG